rnacentral:rRNA from 1 species
GACGAACGCUGGCGGCGCGCUUAACACAUGCAAGUCGAACGGAAAGGCCUGCUUUCCUUUGUGGCUUGCGGGUACUCGAGUGGCGAACGGGUGAGUAACACGUGAGUGAUCUGCCCCCAACUUGGGUAUAAGCCUGGGAUACUGGGUCCAAUUCCCCAUCGGACUGCAGGGUGGUGCCUGUGGUGGAGCACGAUUUUCUAGUGGUAGGGGAUGAGCUCGCGGCCUAUCAGCUUGUUGGUGGGGGAAUAGCCUGCCAAGGCGGCGACGGGCUGCCGGCCUGAGAGUGUGGACAGGGACAGUGAGACUGAGAUACGACACAGGCACUUACGCGAGGCAGAGGUGGGUAAGGGUGGAAGCAGUGCGGAAUACUGAUGCAGCGACGCGGGGCGGAGGAUGACGGGCUUCGGGAUGUAUGCUGCUGUUAAGCGGGAGGAGGCCUCUUAGUUGGAAGGGUGGUGACGGUAGUGGUAGAAUAAGCACCGGCUAACUACGUG